GACGAACGCUGGCGGCGUGCUUAACACAUGCAAGUCGAGCGGAAAGGCCCUUCGGGUACUCGAGCGGCGAACGGGUGAGUAACACGUGAGUAACCUGCCCCAGACUUUGGGAUAACCUCGGAAACGGGGCUAAUACCGAAUAUGACCUCCUUCCGCAUGGUUGGUGGUGGAAAGUUUUUCGGUUUGGGAUGGACUCGCGGCCUAUCAGCUUGUUGGUGGGGUAAUGGCCUACCAAGGCGACGACGGGUAGCCGGCCUGAGAGGGCGACCGGCCACACUGGGACUGAGACACGGCCCAGACUCCUACGGGAGGCAGCAGUGGGGAAUAUUGCACAAUGGGCGGAAGCCUGAUGCAGCGACGCCGCGUGAGGGAUGACGGCCUUGGG
rnacentral:rRNA from 1 species